UACAGAGGGUGCAAGCGUUGUUCGGAAUUACUGGGCGGAAAGCGCAUGUAGGCGGCUUAUUAAGUCAGAUGUGAAAUCCCUUGGCUCAACUGAGGAACUGCAUCUGAUACUGGUAAGCUUGAGUGUCGGAGGGGAUGGUAGAAUUCCUGGUGUAGAGGUGAAAUUCGUAGAUAUCAGGAGGAAUACCUGUGGCGAAGGCGACCAUCUGGAAGACAACUGACGCUGAGAUGCGAAAGCGUGGGUAGCAAACAGG
rnacentral:rRNA from 1 species